rnacentral:rRNA from 1 species
GACGAACGCUGGCGGCGUGCCUAAUACAUGCAAGUUGAGCGCUGAAGGAUGGUACUUGUACCAACUGGAUGAGCAGCGAACGGGUGAGUAACGCGUGGGAAAUCUGCCUUUGAGCGGGGGACCACAUUUGGAAACGAAUGCUAAUACCGCAUAAAAACUUUAAACACAAGUUUUAAGUAUGAAAGAUGAAAUUGCAUCACUCAAAGAUGAUCCCGCGUUGUAUUAGCUAGUUGGUGAGGUAAAGGCUCACCAAGGCGAUGAUACAUAGCCGACCUGAGAGGGUGAUCGGCCACAUUGGGACUGAGACACGGCCCAGACUCCUACGGGAGGCAGCAGUAGGGAAUCUUCGGCAAUGGACGAAAGUCUGACCGAGCAACGCCGCGUGAGUGAAGAAGGUUUUCGGAUCGUAAAGCUCUGUUGUUAGAGAAGAACGUUUGUGAGAGUGGAAAGCUCAUCAAGUGACGGUAACUAACCAGAAAGGGACGGCUAACUACGUG